CGCAAAUCGCACGCAGAAACGUUCGGCAUCCCCCUGGCUGUUCUGGCGGAGCUGACACAUCGCUGUCCUCUGCAGUGUCCGUAUUGCUCAAAUCCGGUGGAGUUGGAGCGAGGGAGCGCGGAACUGUCCACCGAGGAGUGGAAGCGCGUGCUGAGUGAACUCGAGGAAAUCGGCGUGCUUCAGAUUCAUUUUUCCGGCGGUGAACCCACGGCGC
rnacentral:misc_RNA from 1 species